AGAACCAUUUGAGCGUGGUGUAUUUACUGUCUGUACAUCGCGAUACAGCACUGAAAUGGCAACAAUGAAAUAAAGAUAAAAAUCAAAGACAUCUCUUCCGAAUAUUGCCAUGAUCAAAAGCAGCCAUAACUACCGCACAAUCGAAGUGUACAGGAAAAGAUGGUUUUCUGGUGUGCUGCGCGGGCUUCGAAUUGGAUAAAAAGACAGGAAUCUGCAGAGAAUGUGGUGACGGUUAUUUUGGCGAAAACUGCUCUGAAGUGUGUCGGUUUCCAACAUUUGGCCGACGGUGUCAGGGGUUAUGUGACUGUCCUCUAUCAAUGUGUGACUUUGUCAAAGGAUGUACUUACACAUCAGGUAACUCCCAUAAUCAAAAACGGACAAAAGGGCCAACAGAAAAAAUGAUACUCUCAACUAAAUGGAAUUCUGCACCAGAGGUGAACCGAAAUUCUAAUAAUAAUUUCAGAGAUCCAAUGCACUUGCUACUAUUGAUCAUUGCCUGCAUUAACAUUAUUUACGUACUAAUAAAAUCUGCGAAAUAUUUUCGAGGAAAAUUCAAGAGACUGAUCUGUCUAUAUACACAUCAGAGCAAAAAAGAAUAUGGCAAAGAACUUUAUGUGGGUGUUUUAGAGACGCCCCUCCAAAAUGACAAUUAUGAUGUUAUACAAAACGAGCUGGUAUUCGAAGGCACGACUCACACUAAGUUAAAGUUUCAGCAGGCGACUCAAAACGUUGUCAUAGAAACGCAUUCUGAAGCCAAAGGACCACCUAAUAUUCCGAAAAAAGGUACCAAUAUUAAGAAGAAAAAAAUAAUGACGUGAAUAAACAUAAAAUUUGGAGUGAUAACAAUUAACUUAAAGAGCGACAUUUUGCAGAAACUUUGCAUGUUGAAUGAGUUUUGUUUAUUACACUACAAUACUUUUUAUGCUCGAAAG